UUUCCGUAGGUGAACCUGCGGAAGGAUCAUUACCGAGUACUGGGAUCUCAGAUCCCUACUCCCACCCAAUGUUAACCAUCUCCUGUUGCUUUGGCGGACCGUCGAUUUAAACCGCCGCCGGCCUUCUGGGCUGGAGAGCGUCCGCCAGAGGAUUUUCAAACGCCUGUCUAACGUGGGUUCUGAGUACAACUUCAAAUGAAACUAAAACUUUCAACAACGGAUCUCUUGGUUCUGGCAUCGAUGAAGAACGCAGC
rnacentral:misc_RNA from 1 species